rnacentral:tRNA from 1 species
GGAGGAAUACCCAAGUGGUCGAAGGGGCUCCCCUGCUAAGGGAGUAGGGCUGUGAAAGGCUGCGGAAGUUCAAAUCUUCUUUCCUCCGCCA